CAAAAACAAAGUGGAAAGGAGUGGCUAAAUCAGGCUAGAAUUAAGGUUUUAGAAUGACUUCCCAAAGUCCCGACUUAAACCUGACUGAGAACAUGUGGACAGUGCUGAA